GACGAAGGAUGCAAGCGUUAUCCGGAUUCAUUGGGCGUAAAGGGUGCGUAGGCGGCGCGGUAAGUCGGGUGUGAAAUCUCGGAGCUUAACUCCGAAACUGCAUUCGAUACUGCCGUGCUUGAGGACUGGAGAGGAGACUGGAAUUUACGGUGUAGCGGUGAAAUGCGUAGAUAUCGUAAGGAAGACCAGUGGCGAAGGCGGGUCUCUGGACAGUUCCUGACGCUGAGGCACGAAGGCCAGGGGAGCAAACGGG
rnacentral:rRNA from 1 species